UGACUAGUUAGAGUUGUUUAGUUUAGCAGUAAGGUGUUUGGUUGUUCUCUAUUGUCGGGGCAUAGUUGAAAAAAGGUGGAGUUUAGUAUUAGGGGAUGAAUAGGUUAUGGAGGUAUAGUCAGCUGGCCUGUUAAUUCUGUAGCAUAAACUAGGAUUAGAUACCCUAUUAUAUACGGAGGAGAAAUAAUAAUGAAAAGAAGGACUUGAGUAGUACGAAGUUAUGAUCUUGAAAUUCAAAGAAUUUGGCGGUACCUAAGUCCAGUUAGAGGAACUUGUGCCGUAAUCGAUGAACCGCGAGUAUCUUUCUUUAUUUGGUCUUCAGUUUGUAUAUCGCCAUUAUCAGGUAAAGUUGAGAGGUAAUUAUCGUGAGAGAGUGUUUUAGUAUAUUAGGUCAAGAUGCAGUUUAUAAUAAAGGGUGCAUGGGUUACAAUUUAAUUUAUAAAUAUGGAUAAAUCUUUGAAAAGGGGUUUUGAAGGUGGAUUUAAUAGUAUGUUGGAUAUAUUAAGUAUAGUUGAUAUGAGCUCUUAGGUAUGUACAUAUCGCCCGUCGUUCUCAUUGA
rnacentral:rRNA from 1 species